CCAGCUCUCCUGCUCCUUCCACCUCAGGGCCCUCUUAGGGUUGCCUCUUACAUUCUUUCCAGGGCUUAGCAGACAGGAACAGGGAGGGUCGGGUUUAGGCCAUCUUACCCAGACCGGAAGUCUCUAAGUGUUUGAUUGAGUGUUUGUUUGAAGAAAGUGAUGAACCCAGGACCUCGAGCCAGGAAGAUUUUUCCCGGUGAAAAGCAGAGGGAUUGACUCACGCUCGGUUCUGAGUUCCAGGCCUGACUCCAGGGCUCACCAGCUUCUUCCACAACCCGCACAACUUGAACGCUUGGUAGCAUCUCCACGCAGCAGUGGGCACCCUGGCUUCUGGAGGAGCCCAGGCUGCAUUUACCCCUCCAUGGUGCAUCUCAUAGGAUCAACUGGACCCGCGAAAGGCACUGGCUGCGGAAAAGCAGCCAACUGCUCCCCAGCGAAGGGGAUGGCCGGAAGCGAGGAGAGGGAGAAGCCCCAGCAGAGACCCCAGGAGGAAAAGACCCCACAACGGGGCCACUGGGAACCCAUGAUGUUGGUUACCAAUGUGAUUGGAGGUUCGGAACGACGGACGUGUGGCCCUGAAGUGGGAAACAGAAAAGCUGAAGGGCGAGACCUGGGAGGGAGCCCCCCACCCCCGCGGACUCCAGAGACCCAACCUUCCUUCCCUGCGCUCCGGCCGGACGUUCUCCCUGCCCCUGUGGCCGAGCCUGGUGACGAUUCAGCACACAGGAAGGUGGCCCUGCCCAGGGCCAAGCUCUCUCUCAGUUGGCACCUGGCCAGGUGAGGGGGCUGCUCCCUGUCACAGAAUAGGAAGCUGAGGCCCGUGGGGCCUCAUAGGCACACAGCAUGGGGCGGCAGACUGGGCCUCCUGACUUCCUUUCCUUCACCUUACCAUGCUCCUUUCUGGAAGGCACCACUCCAAACCGUCUCCUUGGAAAAGCAACUUCAGCCCCAGUGCCUGUCCCUGCUACACCCAACGUUCCUGUCUGGAAAAGAGUUGCUCUUUAUUCAGCACGUGAGUUCCUGACCCCCAGAUAAGGGCCAGUGCAGCCGGGGAGGGAAGCAUUAGUGCUGCCGGGUGGAAGGUGGACGGCGCCUGGAUCCAGACCCAGCAGUGCUCAUGGGGCCAGGCCUGGUGCUCGUUCUUUCUCAGUCCUUAACGCCACCUUGCAAGGUGGGGAUUGUCCUCCCAUCUGGCCAUGAAGAGCUGAAGCAGAGAGGUGCAGUCGCUCAUCUGCGCUCACUGGUCAGUGGGUCGCUGCGUCCCCAGAGGCCCCUGGGCAGGGUGGGCGCUGCGGCGGCUGCACCAGGCUCCCCCCGUGGAGUGAUUCGCUAAAGAAGGAUGCAGGCGUACAUGGAAACCGCACAUCAGGAGCGGAUGGCGAAAGACUGCUUGAAAAUUGGCUGCAGACCAAACCACCUAAAUCCAGAAACAAACCGAAACUUGCUUUAGGUCCUAAUAACAGUCCAAGCCAGCAUUUCCUCUUGCCUGAAGCACAACCUAGACUCCUAACCGGACUCUGGUCCGUCCGGUCACUCCACAUCUCACUGAGAACCAAGAUUGCAAAAUGCAGAUUAGAUCGCCUAGCCCUGCUUCCCUCUCAGAACUUUCUCUGACUUCCUACUCCUCUUAAUAUAAA
rnacentral:lncRNA from 1 species